AAGGAGCCCAUCCAUUGAGCAGAGACAUUCCUGUGGAUCAGGCACCAUGGCUACCUGUGCCCCCUUGAGAACCUUGGAAGAGGAGGUGACGUGCUCCAUCUGCCUUGACUACCUGAGGGACCCAGUGACCAUCGACUGUGGUCAUGUCUUCUGCAGAUCCUGCGUCAUAGACAUCCGAGCACCCCCAGGGGGCCGCCCAUCGUGUCCGCUCUGUAAGAAGACAUUUAAGAAGGAUAACAUUCGACCCGUUUGGCAGCUGGCCAGCCUCGUGCAGAAUAUUGAGAGACUUAACGUGGAAAAGGGGAGAGAAGCUAAGGAGAAGCGACUCGAGCCGAUGAUGCAGUGUGAACGGCACAAGGAGAAGCUGCACUACUACUGUGAGGAUGACGGGCGAUUCCUCUGCGUGAUAUGCCGGGAGUCCAGGGAGCACAAGUACCAUACGGCCAUCCUCAUUGAGAAGGCUGCCCAGCCCCACCGGGAAAAAAUCCUGAGUCACCUGGGCACCCUAAGGCGAGACAGAGAUAGGGUUCAGAGCUUCCAAAUGAAGGGAGAAACUGAGAUUGAGCACCUGCUGUCCAAACUCCAGGUGGAGAAGCAGAACGUUACCUCCGAGUUUGCCCAGGGGCACCAGUUCCUGAGAGAGCGAGAGCAGCACCUCCUGGAACGACUCGAGGGACUGGAGCGGGAGGUCAUCGAGGGGAGAGAGAAGUACAACCUCAGGACCUCUGGGGAGCUCGUCAGGCUCGGCACCGUGAUCGCGGAACUGGAGGAGAAGGCCCAGCAGCCUGCGGCAGAGCUCAUGCAGGACACCAGAGAUUUCGUCAACAGAUAUCCACGGAAGAAGUUCUGGAGUGGAAAACCUGUUGCUCCUGCUGUUAGAAAAAGGACUGGAGAGUUCUCUGAUAAGCUUCAUUCACUGAGGAAAGGCCUGCGGGAAUUUCAAGGCAAGCUGCUGAGAGCCCUGGAAUAUAAGACAGUGAACGUCACUUUGGACCCUCAGACAGCCAGUGGAUACCUUAUGUUGUCUGAGGACUGGAAGUGUGUGUCCUUUACCAACAUGUAUCAGAAUCUGUACCAACACUCCCAGCAGUUUGAUCCUGAACCUGCAGUUCUGGGCAUUUAUUUCCUUCCGGUGAUGGAGCUUGGGGAAUUGAAACUACCCAACUACUAGAAAAAUAACUGAAGAAAAAUGGACUCUCAGCUGGCUCAGAGACCAAAGUACAUCAUAUGAAAUGCCAGGCUGGAUGAAUCAAAAGCUGGAAUUAAGGUUUCUGGGGGAAACACCAGCAAUCUCAGAUACGCAGAUGAUACCACUUUGGUAGCAAAAAUUGAAGAAGAAUUAAGUAGCCUCUUGUUGAGGUUGAAGGAGGAGAAUGUAAAAGCUGGCAUGGAACUCAACGUUAAAAAAAAACAACAAGAUUAUGGCAUCUGGUCCCAUUGCUUCCUGGCAAAUAGAGGGAGAAGAAAUGGAAACUGUCAGAUUUUAUAUUCUUGGGCUCAAAAUCCUUGCAGAUGGCAGCUGCAGUCGUGAAAUUAAAAGACACUUGCUUUUUGGAAGGAGAGCUAUGGAAAAUGUGGACAACAUACUAAAAAGGAGAGAUAGCACCUCGCUGACGAAGGUCUAUACAGUCACAGCUAUGUUUUUUCAAUAGCAAUAUAUGGCGAUGAGAGUUGAGCCAUAAGGAAAGCUGAGUGCCAUAGAAUCAGUGCUUUUGAGUCAUGGUGCUGGAGAAGACUUUUGAGAGUCCCUUGGACAGCAAGGAGAUUAAAUCAGUCAUUACUUAAAAAAACUAACUGACUAUUCAUUGGAAGGACAGAUACUGAAGCUGAAACUUAAAUAAUUUGGUAGCAUAAUGAGAAAACAGGACUCAUUGGUAAAGACUGAUGCUGGGAAAGACUGAGGAUGAAAGGAGGAGGGUUCAGUAGAGUAUGAGGGGGAUAGUUGGUGUCAUGGAAGCAACGAGUAUGAAUCUGGAUAGACUACAAGAAGAAGACGGAAGGACCUGGCAUGCUCUGGUUCAUGGGGUCACAGAGAAUUGAAGGAAGAACUGAACAAGAACAGUGUGCCAGGCACUGUGCUAAAGGCUGGGGAUUAAAAAGAGACAAAGGACAGUCUAUGCCCUCAAGGAGCUUACAAAUGCGUGGUUGGUGCAUUGACAUGGGUUUUGAAGGAGCUUUUUGGGAGAAGUAUCUUGAGAAUAAGAGGGAAUCAAAACCAAUAUGGCACCUGUGGUGAUGGAAAACAUUGGGAAAGACCUGUUUUAUCCUUCCUGCUUGGACUAUCUGACCAAACCCAUGGGUCUUCAGUACGGACACAUAUUUUGCCAUGACUGCAUCGUCACCGUAAGAAGCAGUGUUAGUUUUCCAUGGAAAAUUGUUCUGUACUCUCUACAAGUAGCCAUUUCUGAAGUUCAGCUUUUAGCCACGUUGGCGGAUGGCUGGUUGGGGGCUUCAAGGGGGAUGAAUCAAGAGAAUGCACCUUUGUGUUCAAUACGUGAAAUCUUAUUGUGCAGAGAGAUCCCUCAAGAGCUCUGUGUGAGGGUCCCCACAGCAUAAAGAGCAUGCGGAAAUCCUCAUAGAAGAUGCCAGUCAUCACUACAGGGGAUUCUUGGGAUUUUCUGUGUCCUGGACCUCUUUGGCAGUCCGAUGGAGGAAGCCCUUCUCAGAACAGUGUUUUUAAAUGAAUAAAUGAAAUCCAGAAGAUUAUAAAGAAAACUAAUCAUAUGUUAUAGCUAUCAACAUACUAAAAACAGCAACGCUGCCGCCAACAAAACAAAUUCACAGACCCCAGGCUGAGAACACCUGCCUUGUCGGAGCGUCGCGGGUGACUUCGGGGGCGCAGAAGUAACGGGUCACUUUGGCCCCUUCCCUGUAUCUUUGCCACACUCCGUCAUGAAUGGGGGGAGAAUAAUGAGCGGAAGGCCCUUAUGUCCUCUAAAGAAGCUCAUCUGCUCCUCUCCCAGUAGAGGACUUUACACUUGUUGAAUGACGAAUCCAGCCUCCAACGCGAGUCCGGUGAAACGGCCAGGCUCCUCUCGGGGGAUGGGUGUCUGCCUAGAAUGCUCCGGAGUGGUGGGAGAGUCACUGGGCCAGGAGAAUUAGAAUGGUCUACAGGACGAUGGAGCAGAAAUCACAGGCAGCCGGAUCUCUGCUCAGAAUGAAGAACUGUCUGGAAAUAAACUAUGCUGCCUGGAUGAUGACGAGUUUCCCAUUCAUGGAGGGCUUCAAACAGGAGCCGAAUGAUCACUCGUUGGCAUAUUGUUCAACAAAAUAGACAUAGAGAGAUCAACAGACUGUGCCAUAAAACCGGAUGCCUACUUGUAUCUCUGCAGUAAUGCAGGACUUAUCAGAAGGUCAAAGGAGCUGUCUCUUUAGCAGGACCUCUAAUCUGCUCCGGAGUCGUUCCUGGUGGAAGAAAGCGAGUAGAGGGGUUCGUGGAUUCGUGAUAACUCUUGUAUAUCUGAGAGACGGGUGUGGUGGGAUAAUCUCCUCAAAGCAAAUGGUGAAAAGUUUUAGAAGACCAGAGGUCAAGUGUGAUGUCUGCUACCUAUUACUCUGUGACCUUAGGUACCGGAAGUUAGUAAUCAUGGUUCUCCUAUUUGACUGGGAGUUUCCUGUGAGAGGAAAGUGUCUCCCCCUGUUUUCUUUGCUAUAUCUUGCCUCUCUAAUCUGACUGGGAGCUCUUUCAGACUGGGGAAGGUGUCCCUUUCCUCUGGAUUCCUCCCAUCACCUGUACUCAGGACAAGACUCUGCUGUGCCUCGGUGACUAUGAAAAUGAGGGCCUCUGGGGUAGAACUAAGACUCUCAAACCACCCCUACCCAACCAGGGAUAAUAGAGAGCUUCCUACCCUGUAGGGUUGAGUGGCUUCAUCCAGGAGUACCACAGCAUGAGCCUGGUGAUUGGAACUCUCCCGGCAGAGCACGCAAAGGAACUCCCCAUCAUUCUCACAGAAGAAGUAAAUUUUCUCACCGUGCUCAUCACAGUAUGUAACUCCUGUUCCAAAGUCCAGUGAUGGAGAUGAAUGCUCCACCCUGCGUGAGGGGUGGGAUGGAGUUCAUAAGAAUCGAGAGUUCAGUUCAAGGCCAGGCCCUCUUUGGGACUCAUCAAGCUUCAAGUCACUUUCUGGCUUUGAGCUUCAAGAAAGAAGAUGGAAGAGGCCAACCCCCUUUCAGGUUGCUGAAGGAAAAUACUCUGGGAAGACAUGAAGGAGCUGGUAGUCUCUGUUUUUGCUACAAUAGAAACUUCAGAGGGUUUCCCCUUGGGUGAGAUCAAGGACCAAGAUCUCUCUUGGUUGAGCUGAAUUAUCUUGCUUCCAAUGGGAGUGCUCCUUCACCCUGUAUUGUCUAUAUUUAUAUUGUUUAUACACUCUAUAUUGUAUGUAUACCCUCUCUAGUUUCUAUUUUAAAUAAAUAAAUCUCUGAUUUAGA